rnacentral:rRNA from 1 species
GUGAGGAAUAUUGCGCAAUGGAGGCAACUCUGACGCAGCCAUGCCGCGUGCAGGAAGAAGGCGCUACGCGUUGUAAACUGCUUUUAACCGGGAAGAAACCCCAGGACGUGUCCUGGGUUGACGGUACCGGAGGAAUAAGCACCGGCUAACUUCGUGCCAGCAGCCGCGGUAAUACGAAGGGUGCAAGCGUUAUCCGGAUUCCUUGGGUUUAAAGGGUGCGUAGGCGGAGUGUUAAGUCAGUGGUGAAAUCCUGCAGCUUAACUGUAGACUUGCCAUUGAUACUGGCGCUCUUGAGUGCGCUUGAAGUGGGCGGAAUGUGCCGUGUAGCGGUGAAAUGCUUAGAUAUGGCACAGAACACCAAUUGCGAAGGCAGCUCACUAAGGCGAUACUGACGCUGAGGCACGAAAGCGUGGGGAUCGAACAGGAUUAGAUACCCUGGUAGUCC